UCUAAAGACUGUUCGAACGGGCUUUGUCUGAUCCAAGCCGAACAUGUUAGGCGCGCCCAGUGGGGACGCUGAUGCGAUUUCGUUUUAUGCAAACAGCCAAAGUUUUCCCGCCGGCGGUUACCCAUUCCUACAGAUUUAUUCAUCGUUGAGUCUCAUUUGAGUGAGUUACAAGAUUAGCUAUUCUUCACCGGCUUAAAGUGAGUUCGUGCUUCCCCGGGCGCUUCAUGAGAUUGGUUCGGUGGCUUAUUCAAGCAUUAAUUGAGAAAAUUUUCUGUGAAGAUAUUGGUUGCUGUUCAUGGCAUUUCAAUUAGGAAAUUCAAUUGGGGCUGCAAUAGCAGGUCCCACAUAUACUUGACGUGGCCCUUCCCUAACUUUAACUUAUAUAUGAAGUUUGUCAACGUGGCCUAACUUAGGAACAAGAGAAUGGUUGGUGUACUUUACUUCAUUCUUCCUUGAUAUUUCAUGCAUUCCUUCCUUCUGAAAAUCUUCAGUCAUCAUGUAGAUGCUUGAAUUGAAAUGACACUCACAUGCCAUGGCUGCUGCAACUUCCAUGCAAAGUUGAUCAGUAUUCAGUAAUAGGCUGUGGAGAGAAGAAAUGAGGGCAAAGAUGCAGAGAGAUGACAACACCAAGAGGAGGAUGUCUAUGGGCAAAAAUGUUUUUUUUUUUUUUCUUCAGGGGAAAAUCCAAGAACUCAACUAUGGUCAACAGAAGUUGUAAAAGAUGAUGGGAAAUCAAUUUUGAGUAUGUAAUUUCAUAUCUAUAAGUUUAACAAAAUUUGAGCACCUAACUUCAUAUCUGAAAAUCAAAUCUGAGCAUGUAAUUGCAUAAAAUGCAGAGUAUUUCAUGUCCCAAAACAGGGUCGAUGAUUUGAUAAUUGAAAUUAGUUGGAAUUGUUUUUGAUUCAA